GAUGAACGCUGGCGGCGUGCCUAAUACAUGCAAGUCGAGCGAACAGACGAUGAGCUUGCUCCUCUGACGUUAGCGGCGGACGGGUGAGUAACACGUGGAUCACCUACCUAUAAGACUGGGAUAACUUCGGGAAACCGCAGCUAAUACCGGAUCAUAUAUUGAACCGCAUGGUUCAAUAGUGAAAGACGGUUUUGCUGUCACUUAUAGCUGGAUCCGCGCCGGAUUAGCUAGUUGGUAAGGUAACGGCUUACCAAGGCAACGAUGCGUAGCCGACCUGAGAGGGUGAUCGGCCACACUGGAACUGAGACACGGUCCAGACUCCUACGGGAGGCAGCAGUAGGGAAUCUUCCGCAAUGGGCGAAAGCCUGACGGAGCAACGCCGCGUGAGUGAUGAAGGUCUUCGGAUCGUAAAACUCUGUUAUUAGGGAAGAACAAAUGUGUAAGUAACUAUGCACGUCUUGACGGUACCUAAUCAGAAAGCCACGGCUAACUACGUG
rnacentral:rRNA from 1 species